rnacentral:rRNA from 1 species
UACGAAGGGGGCUAGCGUUGCUCGGAAUCACUGGGCGUAAAGCGCACGUAGGCGGUUUGUUAAGUCCGUUGUGAAAGCCCUGGGCUCAACCUGGGAAUUGCAGUGGAUACUGGCGAGCUAGAGUGCGGUAGAGGAUGGUGGAAUUCCCGGUGUAGCGGUGAAAUGCGUAGAGAUCGGGAGGAACACCCGUGGCGAAGGCGGCCAUCUGGACCAGCACUGACGCUGAGGCACGAAAGCGUGGGGAGCAAACAGG